GUGGGGAAUAUUGGACAAUGGGGGGAACCCUGAUCCAGCCAUGCCGCGUGUGUGAAGAAGGCCUUUUGGUUGUAAAGCACUUUAAGCGAGGAGGAGGCUACCGAGAUUAAUACUCUUGGAUAGUGGACGUUACUCGCAGAAUAAGCACCGGCUAACUCUGUGCCAGCAGCCGCGGUAAUACAGAGGGUGCAAGCGUUAAUCGGAUUUACUGGGCGUAAAGCGCGCGUAGGUGGCCAAUUAAGUCAAAUGUGAAAUCCCCGAGCUUAACUUGGGAAUUGCAUUCGAUACUGGUUGGCUAGAGUAUGGGAGAGGAUGGUAGAAUUCCAGGUGUAGCGGUGAAAUGCGUAGAGAUCUGGAGGAAUACCGAUGGCGAAGGCAGCCAUCUGGCCUAAUACUGACACUGAGACACGAAAGCAUGGGGAUCAAACAGGAUUAGAUACCCGUGUAGUCC
rnacentral:rRNA from 1 species